UCUAGAGUGGCAGAUUAGUGCAUUGGAUUUAAGCCUCAAAAAUAAAUUUUUAAAAAUUUUUUUAGAA
rnacentral:tRNA from 1 species